rnacentral:rRNA from 1 species
UACGUAGGGGGCAAGCGUUGUCCGGAUUUAUUGGGCGUAAAGAGCGUGUAGGCGGCUUUACAGGUCCGUUGUGAAAACUCGAGGCUCAACCUCGAGACGCCGGUGGAAACCGUAAGGCUAGAGUCCGGAAGAGGAGAGUGGAAUUCCUGGUGUAGCGGUGAAAUGCGCAGAUAUCAGGAGGAACACCCGUGGCGAAAGCGGCUCUCUGGGACGGUACUGACGCUAAAGCGCGACAGCAUGGGGAGCAAACGGG